GCGACGAUUUAGGAACAAUAAAAACAAUAAAAACGAUAAUCAGUCGUGCAACAGAGCUCUCAGGGGUGGUAGGGGCGAUUUAAAUGGAUAAUUCCAAUUAGGUAAGUAUGUGAGCUUAGUUCGCGCAAGUGUUAAUUUUAAAUUUUUAUAUUUUACAGGCACAGAUGCAUCACCUUACGAGUUUCCCUCACCGUUCGCACUCUAAAGUGAAGCUCGGCGUAAGUGCCUAUGGAGUACUUUUCAGGAGUCUUCAUCAUUUCUCUGCCAAGGGCCCGAACGAGGAUGGGCAAAAAGAGAAAAGGACUCCUUUGGCUUCAGGUCCCACACCGCUGAAGUCUUAUAUGGCACGAGUAGGUAGCUCAUCAUCGCGCAGCGUGUAGUGGAAUCCGAGAAGCACGACGGAAGUAGAGAAUAUCCAUAAACAUGAGAAGUUUUCUUGUAGAGGUUGAUGACGGUAAGUCACGUUCGCAUGAUGGCGAAACGGUCGCGACCGUUUAUCGUAGCCUGGUGGUAGCCGCCACGAAUAACAAAAUAACAAAAUAGCUUGUGAUAGAAUGUGAUAUAAGGGUAGGUAUUACUAGAGUUUGUUUAAUGUUUUCUAUUUGUUUUGUCCCACUCUGUGCUAAUAUUUGGAAUGUGCUGGCCGUAGUUAAAUGAGCUUCGGAGA